UAGUAUAGCGUUGCACUUCCUUGGCGUUUCACUUCGACUUUAAAUCCGAAAAUUUAUAUUUCGUUUGGUGUUUUAAUACUAUUCAAGAUUUUUUUAAAUAUGAAGUUUAAUAGCAUAGUUUUGCUUCUAACAGCCGCACUGUUCAUUAUCCUGGCAGUGUCUACAGGUGUUGAAGGAAAGGUUACGCCAAAACCUGAUAUCCCGACCAC